UACAGAGGGGGGCUAGCGUUGCUCGGAAUUACUGGGCGUAAAGCGCACGUAGGCGGUCUUUUAAGUCGGGGGUGAAAUCCUGGAGCUCAACUCCAGAACUGCCUUCGAUACUGGAAGACUCGAGUCCGGGAGAGGUGAGUGGAACUGCGAGUGUAGAGGUGAAAUUCGUAGAUAUUCGCAAGAACACCAGUGGCGAAGGCGGCUCACUGGCC
rnacentral:rRNA from 1 species